AUUGAACGCUGGCGGCAUGCCUUACACAUGCAAGUCGAACGGCAGCACGGGUGCUUGCACCUGGUGGCGAGUGGCGAACGGGUGAGUAAUACAUCAGAACGUACCUUAUCGUGGGGGAUAACGCAGCGAAAGCUGUGCUAAUACCGCAUACGCCCUGAGGGGGAAAGCGGGGGAUCGCAAGACCUCGCGCGAUUAGAGCGGCCGAUGCCUGAUUAGCUUGUUGGUGGGGUAAAAGCCCACCAAGGCGACGAUCAGUAGCUGGUCUGAGAGGACGAUCAGCCACACUGGGACUGAGACACGGCCCAGACUCCUACGGGAGGGAGGAGUGGGGAAUUUUGGACAAUGGGGGCAACCCUGAUCCAGCAAUGCCGCGUGAGUGAAGAAGGCCUUCGGGUUGUAAAGCUCUUUUGUCAGGGAAGAAACACCGGCUCUAACACAGUCCGGGAAUGACGGUACCUGAAGAAUAAGCACCGGCUAACUACGUGCCAGCCGCCGCAGUAA
rnacentral:rRNA from 1 species